CCCCUGGUGGUUUAGUGGUUCGGAUGCAGCAUUCUCAUCGCAGCGGCCCAGGUUCAAUUCCUGGUCAGGGGA
rnacentral:tRNA from 1 species